rnacentral:rRNA from 1 species
AUUGAACGCUGGCGGCAUGCCUAACACAUGCAAGUCGAGCGAGCGGCGGACGGGUGAGUAAUUUAUGGGGAUCUGCCCGAUAGAGCGGGCUAACGAAUGGAAACGGUGGCUAAUACCGCAUACUACCGUAUGCACCCAUGGGGGAUUAGCUAGUCGGUGUGGUAAAGGCUCACCAAGGCGACGCGCACUAGCUGGUCUGAGAGGAUGAUCGGCCACACUGGGACUGAGACACGGCCCAGACUCCUACGGGAGGCAGCAGUGGGGAUGAUUGCACAAUGGGCGAAAGCCUGAUGCAGCCAUGCCGCGUGUAUGAAGAAGGCCUUAGGGUGGUAAAGUACUGUCAUCAGGGAGGCGUUACCCACAGAGAAAGCAACGGCUAACUCCGUGCCAGCAGCCGCGGUAAUAC